rnacentral:rRNA from 1 species
UACGGAAGGCAGCAGUGGGGAAUAUUGCACAAUGGGCGCAAGCCUGAUGCAGCCAUGCCGCGUGUAUGAAGAAGGCCUUCGGGUUGUAAAGUACUUUCAGCGGGGAGGAAGGCGGUGAAGUUAAUAGCUUCACCGAUUGACGUUACCCGCAGAAGAAGCACCGGCUAACUCCGUGCCAGCAGCCGCGGUAAUACGGAGGGUGCAAGCGUUAAUCGGAAUUACUGGGCGUAAAGCGCACGCAGGCGGUCUGUCAAGUCGGAUGUGAAAUCCCCGGGCUUAACCUGGGAACUGCAUUCGAAACUGGCAGGCUAGAGUCUUGUAGAGGGGGUAGAAUUCCAGGUGUAGCGGUGAAAUGCGUAGAGAUCUGGAGGAAUACCGGGUGGCGAAGGCGGCCCCUGGGACAAAGCUGACGCUCAGGGUGCGAAAGCGUGGGGAGCAAACAGGGAUUAGGAUACC